UUAUUUGUAAAAUGGAACGUUUUACUGUUUAAGAUAGCUAUUAAGGCUCUACUCAAGUCUUAUGUUUGAAGAAUAGGACUUUUUUAUAUAUUUCUCAAACGAUAAAGACAUAUGACACUUUGACAGUGACAAUGACAGUUUGAGAAAUCAAAUCAGUUGAAAAAAUACCAGUGCGCGUUACGCGGUUAUACUGUUACUGUUUUUCUUUUAGAACUUAAAAGCGUACAUUUCCGGUCGUAAAAAGUUAAAACCAAACUGAGCAAGCUAUUAUGGCUUGCUCAAAGGAAGAUAUUGAGAGAAAGCGUCUCGCUGCGUUACAAAAGCGUCAAAACAAGGCACAAGAUCAAAACAAAUCUAUUGUGUGUUCUCCAUCACCAAGCAGCACACCGUCCCCUCGGACUCCUCUAAGCCAACCUUGGGCUGGUCCCAUACGGAACUCUGGUAACUUUGGUGCUGGCAGUAGAAGUUUUCAUCCUUACGCGAAGCCGGAAAGCAGCGGAGCGGAAAAUAGUGUGCCGGUUACUAAAGUUGUGAGUGGUACUGUUUACCUCAUAUCUGAAGAGAGGUUCGAGGUUAAUCCGUCGGAGUUCUGCCCUCCGCUUAUUAAUGUGUUUAAAACUAUACCUUCUAAGAGCUAUGAUCCCUCAUCCAAGCUAUGGAACUUCUCCAUAAAUGACUACCAAGAUCUGAUGUCCAAGGUGGCGCCACUAGCCCCCCACAUAGUGCUUGGAGCCCUGCCGCAGUUUGUGCUGAAGAUCCUUAGGACGCAGAUCACAGACCCGAGGACUUUGGAUUUGUCACCUAUUGAGUCUACACUUCGGCAUAAGUUGAUGCCAUUUCAAGAAGAUGGAGUUAGAUUUGGCAUAGCACACCGUGGACGCUGCAUGAUAGCUGAUGACAUGGGCCUUGGGAAGACCUUCCAAGCUCUGGCUAUUGCCAGCUAUUAUAAGCAUAACUUUCCUUUGCUUAUCGUGACUACUUCUUCUAUGAGGGAAACCUGGCAGAGUAAGAUCCAUGAGCUGCUGCCCACCAUCCCGAUGAUGAAUAUCAUCACACUCAGCAGUAAUAAGGAUGCACAACUCGUUGCCGACAGACAGACUCAAAUUGUGAUAGUAAGCUACAAGAUGGUGACAAUACACAAGGAUCUGCUCAGAGACAAGAAGUUUGGGAUUGUUAUAAUAGAUGAAUCUCAUCAAGUGAAGACCCCAAACGCCAAAUGCACUAUAGCACUCAAGAGCAUCUCAAAACUGAGUGCAAGAAUGAUUCUGUUGAGUGGUACGCCCGCACUGAGUCGGCCUAUUGAGCUUUACACUCAAUUAGAGCUUAUUGAGCCUAAGCUAUUUAACUCCUAUAAUGAGUACGGUAAAAGGUACUGUGCAGCUAAGCAAACCAACUUCGGCUGGGACAUGACCGGGCAGUCCAACUUGGCCGAACUUCAGGUUAUACUGCAAAAGCGAUUCCUCAUCAGGCGCACCAAGGAAGAGGUCCUCACCGAACUGGAGCAGAAGACCAGAGAAUCAGUGCUCCUAGAUGAGACCCUUCUAGAAUUCAGCAAGGAAGACAGAACAGGUCUCUCGCAGAUGGCGGAAUCCUACCGAUCGUCGAGAGCUUCGGAACGGCAUACUGCGCUUUUGAACUUCUUUGGCGAGUCGGCCCGUGUCAAGAUACCCGCUAUAUGUAAAUACAUCCGCCAACUGCUAAGCAGUUUCUCGGACAAGUUUCUAGUGUUCGCCCACCACCGCGCCGUCAUCGACGCGAUCUGCUCCACGCUGGACGAGGAGGAGCUGCACUACAUCUGUAUCACGGGUUCGACUCCCACCUCGGCUAGAGCCGAUUUAGUGGACAAGUUCCAAUACGUUGAGUCCUGUCGGUGCGGGGUGCUGUCUAUAACAGCAGCCAACAGCGGGCUCACACUCACUGCCGCUAGACUAGUGCUGUUCGCCGAAUUACACUGGAAUCCUGGGAUUUUGACGCAGGCGGAAUCGCGCGCGCAUCGAAUAGGGCAGCAAGGAGGCGUGUGCGCACGAUAUUUGUUAGCGAGAGGGACCUGUGACGACUAUAUGUGGCCUAUGUUGCAAGGGAAACUCAAUGUACUGAACAACGUGGGUCUCAGUGGUGACUCGUUCGAAGGCACCACCACCAAACACCAAGAGAGCAAAACCAACAUAACCCAGUACCUAAGCCCGCAAUGUCCAAAAAACCCCAACGACUACAUUCCAGGCACCAACAUAAGGAAGGACGCUCAAAAACCACAAACACAUAAAAAUAACUACAAUUCAUUUGCCGAGUCUAACCCACAGACAUAUAAAAACAACAACUGUUCAUCUGCCGAGUCGAAUCCACAGACAAAUCAUGAUUCUAGUGUUAGUCAAAAUUUUACAUCAUUAGGUGACUUUGACGAGCCUUUUGAUGUGGACGCUGAUAUGACUAAGUCGUUUUUGGAUGAUGAUGAAGGUGAUGAAUUGUUGGCAGCGUUGGACUUAUGAUAUUAGAUUAAGAUUGUUGAGUUAAAAAUAAUUCUACUAUCGCAGAAUGCAUAAUUGUGGACGGUCAACCAAAUCUUGGCACUAAAAAAGGCGCGAAAUACAUCGCUCGUCGAUGAUCCCGCCAACGUCAAGGUGUAUGAAGAGAAUUCGCCGCUAGACCCUACAUUUUUCAAAUUUUCCGUCUUUUAUUAGUGCCAACAUUUGUUUAAUGGUCUAUAAUUCACAAUCACACAGAUAUUUCACUCAUUCGUGUCAGUUCUUAUGAAUUGACCUGUAUUUGAACUUUCUCUCAGUUUCAGUGCAAAGAAAUAAAAAAAACAUUAUUUUACCUUUUUUCCAAACGUUUCUGGCAGGUUCCAUUAGCCGUGGUCGCGGAAGACCAGUCAACCUGGCCUGUGCAACUUAGCCGAAACGUUGCAAAAAAGGUAAAAUCUCAGAGCAAAAAACUUAAAUCUGUGGGUAAAAUAAUGUUAAUUAAUCGCGUUCGACCUGUGUCUGACUUUAAAUAUGUGUACAGUCGACUACAAAGAGA